AGGGACUUAGAGUUAGGCCAUUUAUCCCAAGAUAGUAGUUAGUAUAUUCAGAUAGCUAGGUGAGACAACCACAUAUCACAGUAGUUAGUAUAUUCAGAUAGCUAGGUGGGACAACCACAUAUCACAGUAGUUAGUAUAUUCAGAUAGCUAGGUGGGACAACCACAUAUCACAGUAGUUAGUAUAUUCAGAUAGCUAGGUGGGACAACCACAUAUCACAGUAGUUAGUAUAUUCAGAUAGCUAGGUGAGACAACCACAUAUCACAGUAGUUAGUAUAUUCAGAUAGCUAGGUGAGACAACCACAUAUCACAGUAGUUAGUAUAUUCAGAUAGCUAGGUGGGACAACCACAUAUCACAGUAGUUAGUAUAUUCAGAUAGCUGGGUGGGACAACCACAUAUCACAGUAGUUAGUAUAUUCAGAUAGCUAGGUGGGACAACCACAUAUCACAGUAGUUAGUAUAUUCAUCUUCAGAUAGCUAGGUGGGACAACCACAUAUCACAGUAGUUAGUAUAUUCAGAUAGCUAGGUGAGACAACCACAUAUCACAGUAGUUAGUAUAUUCAGAUAGCUAGGUGGGACAACCACAUAUCACAGUAGUUAGUAUAUUCAGAUAGCUAGGUGAGACAACCACAUAUCACAGUAGUUAGUAUAUUCAGAUAGCUAGGUGGGACAACCACAUAUCACAGUAGUUAGUAUAUUCAGAUAGCUGGGUGGGACAACCACAUAUCACAGUAGUUAGUAUAUUCAUCUUCAGAUAGCUAGGUGAGACAACCACAUAUCACAGUAGUUAGUAUAUUCAGAUAGCUAGGUGGGACAACCACAUAUCACAGUAGUUAGUAUAUUCAGAUAGCUAGGUGGGACAACCACAUAUCACAGUAGUUAGUAUAUUCAGAUAGCUAGGUGGGACAACCACAUAUCACAGUAGUUAGUAUAUUCAGAUAGCUGGGUGGGACAACCACAUAUCACAGUAGUUAGUAUAUUCAGAUAGCUGGGUGGGACAACCACAUAUCACAGUAGUUAGUAUAUUCAGAUAGCUAGGUGAGACAACCACAUAUCACAGUAGUUAGUAUAUUCAGAUAGCUAGGUGGGACAACCACAUAUCACAGUAGUUAGUAUAUUCAGAUAGCUAGGUGGGACAACCACAUAUCACAGUAGUUAGUAUAUUCAGAUAGCUAGGUGGGACAACCACAUAUCACAGUAGUUAGUAUAUUCAGAUAGCUGGGUGGGACAACCACAUAUCACAGUAGUUAGUAUAUUCAGAUAGCUAGGUGAGACAACCACAUAUCACAGUAGUUAGUAUAUUCAGAUAGCUGGGUGGGACAACCAUAUCACAGUAGUUAGUAUAUUCAGAUAGCUAGGUGGG